CCGCGUGAGUGAUGAAGGUCUUCGGAUCGUAAACUCUGUUGUUAGGGAAGAACAAAUUUGUUAGUAACUGAACAAGUCUUGACGGUACCUAACCAGAAAGCCACGGCUAACUACGUGCCAGCAGCCGCGGUAAUACGUAGGUGGCAAGCGUUAUCCGGAAUUAUUGGGCGUAAAGCGCGCGUAGGCGGUUUCUUAAGUCUGAUGUGAAAGCCCACGGCUCAACCGUGGAGGGUCAUUGGAAACUGGGAAACUUGAGUGCAGAAGAGGAGAGUGGAAUUCCAUGUGUAGCGGUGAAAUGCGCAGAGAUAUGGAGGAACACCAGUGGCGAAGGCGGCUCUCUGGUCUGUAACUGACGCUGAUGUGCGAAAGCGUGGGGAUCAAACAGGAUUAGAUACCCUGGUAGUCCACGCCGUAAACGAUGAGUGCUAAGUGUUAGGGGGUUUCCGCCCCUUAAUGCUGCAUCUAACGCAUUAAUCACUCCGCCUGGGGAGUACGACCGCAAGGUUGAAACUCAAAGGAAUUGACGGGGACCCGCACAAGCGGUGGAACAUGUGGUUUAAUUCUAAGCAACGCGAAGAACCUUACCAAAUCUUGACAUCCUUUGAGCGCUCUAGAGAUAGAGUCUUCCCCUUCAGGGGACAAAGUGACAGGUGGUGCAUGGUUGUCCUCAUCUCGUGUCGUGAGAUGUUGGGUUAACUCCCGCAACGAGCGCAACCCUUAAGCUUAUUUGCCAUCAUUAAGUUGGGCACUCUAUGUUGACUGCCGGUGACAAACCGGAGGAAGGUGGGGAUGACCUCAAUCAUCAUGCCCCUUAUG
rnacentral:rRNA from 2 species